CAUCACUGUUGCUUUAAGGAAAAGCAAAAAGGCUUGUAUGCAUUCACCAUUGGAAACUGCUGUACUGAAGUCCUCUGUUGAUAUAAAAUAAGCAUACAGAAAAUAAUAAGGCAAAGAAAACAUUGACCAGCCUUUGGUGUCCUUGAUACUUUGGAGGAGUCCACCAGUCAUUACUGUUCUGUGAACACACAGGUACCACCACUGCUGCAUCUUCUUCAAGCGCAUGAUCACAUCAUGAAAUGAGAGAUUCAUGACUGUCUUGGUCACUGCCACCUCCCAGAGCAGAGCUUGGCACAAAGUAGUCACCCAAAACCAUUUGAUGAAUGGAUUGUUCUGCAUGAUCAAGAGAGAAGAAUAUUGAGUUUCCAGGCCUGUCCAAGAAAGAGAAGGUUUGGAUGACUAUAAAAUAAAAGAAGGUUUUCCAGAAUCAGAAGGAUGCAGCCUCACUCCCUACCAUCCCUCCUCCACGUGACCAUCAGUGUGGCCUGCCUGAAACACACACCGCUGGCCACAGCACCGGCCUCCAAGGAGCCUGCCCCGCCACGGAUAUUCACAUCAGAGGUCCCAACAUUUGGAAACACAACUUUUUUUGUUCAAAUAAAAUAUGACAUUGAACACUGAUAAAAGAAACAGAUGAAAAGUUCUUUCACAACAGACGUGUACUUCACAGGCAUAUAUUUAUAAUAUUUGCUUGUGAUAAAGCCAGCAACCCUGAAUAUGAAGCUACUUUGAAAAGGCAUAAACAUUUAAUGUUCCUGGUCAUGGACAUGCAGUUUUAGACUGGUCUCGGUGUUUGAUUUAUUUCUGCCUUUGUUUAUGUCACCCAGUGCUGAGAAAGUCGGAUUCACAGAGGUACGUAAUAAAACUAGCAACAGCUUUAUUUUUUAUUUUUACACAGCUUACUUUCCAGUCUCAGGGUGCUUUCAGUUAAUCUGUUGCAAGAUCUUCCAUGCGGAGUAGGAGGAAAUUUGGGGCCUAAUGUUGAAUCACUAAUAACUAACCAAUUUUAUUGCUAUGUUAAAUGUAAAAAAUUACAUCGAAAGUAGCGCAAGCUUAGGACAGGUGCUCAUGCAGUAUCAUCCUGACCACACAGCUAACCGUUACGCAGAAGGGAGUGAACGUGAUCACCCAGGCUUUGUCCUCAUGCAUUUGCUUAGUUUUCCAUAGCAGUGUGUGUACACUAACUGACAUGGGAGGACACGCACAGGCUGAUGUUCAGAAAUCACCCAGACACAGCUACAGUCUUUCUACUCAGUGACAACUUAAUUAAUAUAGUCAAAAUCAUGAAUAAAAUUAGCAGAAAAGAUCAAUUCUGACUGUAUCAAAGAGCAUUCGCCUGAUGGCAUGAAUUGAUGCGCUGGUAGACUCCAAUAUGUAAACAUGUGAUAUAAAAUUAAAAUCGAUCUUUUUAAUGAUCUUUUUGAAUAGAUUUUUUUAGAAGUAUUUUAUUCCUAAAUAAGAAACCAAUGGACAUAACCCAAACAUUAA